rnacentral:rRNA from 1 species
GACGAACGCUGGCGGCGUGCUUAACACAUGCAAGUCGAACGGUGAAGCCGGAGCUUGCUCCGGUGGAUUAGUGGCGAACGGGUGAGUAACACGUGAGCAACCUGCCCUUGACUCUGGGAUAACUGCGGGAAACUGUAGCUAAUACCGGAUACGACACCUUGGGGCAUCCCAGGGUGUGGAAAGAAUUUCGGUCAAGGAUGAGCUCGCGGCCUAUCAGCUAGUUGGUGAGGUAAUGGCUCACCAAGGCGACGACGGGUAGCCGGCCUGAGAGGGUGACCGGCCACACUGGAACUGAGACACGGUCCAGACUCCUACGGGAGGCAGCAGUGGGGAAUAUUGCACAAUGGGCGAAAGCCUGAUGCAGCAACGCCGCGUGAGGGAUGAAGGCCUUCGGGUUGUAAACCUCUUUUAGCAGGGAAGAAGCGAGAGUGACGGUACCUGCAGAAAAAGCACCGGCUAACUACGUGCCAGCAGCCGCGGUAA